rnacentral:rRNA from 1 species
UACGGGGGGAGCAAGCGUUGUUCGGAUUUACUGGGCGUAAAGGGCGCGUAGGCGGUCAGCACAAGUCAGUUGUGAAAUCUCCGGGCUUAACUCGGAAAGGUCAACUGAUACUGUGCGACUAGAGUGCGGAAGGGGCAACUGGAAUUCUCGGUGUAGCGGUGAAAUGCGUAGAUAUCUGGAGGAACACCGGUGGCGAAGGCGGCAUCCUGGACCGGCAUUGACGCUGAGGCGCGAAAGCUAGGGGAGCAAACGGG